rnacentral:misc_RNA from 1 species
UCCAAAUACCUAGUUUAUUUAGCAGUUUUUCUAUAUUUUAAACAAAUAGAGUUUAAAAGAACUAGAAAUAAGGGUUACGCUCGUUAAAGGAGCCAACCAAACAUCUCAAAACACGAGCUAACGACAGCCAUGCAGCACCUGCUCAUUAAUCAACAAAUGUUAUAAAUAUAUUCCAUUUGAUUAGCUAUAAAAUAAAGCUUUAAUUAAUGAUUCCAAGACUGGUAAGGUUUUGCGUGUUAUGUCGCAUUAAACCAGAUGCCUCACCGCUUGUUCAGACCUCCGUCAAUUCCUUAGAGUUUCAACCUUGCGACUUUACUACCCAGGCGGAAUAUUUACGCGUUAGCUCAAACAUCGAAUUUAUCAAUCCAACAUUUAAUAUUCAUCGGUCAGGGCACGGACU